UACGUAGGGGGCAAGCGUUGUCCGGAAUUACUGGGUGUAAAGCGCGUGUAGGCGGCAGGCCAAGUCUGUGGUGAAAUCGCUCGGCUCAACUGGGCGGGGUCCAUGGAAACUGGUCAGCUGGAGGACGGUAGAGGUGAGUGGAAUUCCAGGUGUAGCGGUGAAAUGCGUAGAUAUCUGGAGGAAUACCGGUGGCGAAGGCGGCAUCCUGGACCGACAUUGACGCUGAGGAGCGAAAGCUAGGGGAGCAAACGGG
rnacentral:rRNA from 1 species